UACGGAGGGUGCAAGCGUUAUCCGGAUUCACUGGGUUUAAAGGGUGCGUAGGUGGGCAGGUAAGUCAGUGGUGAAAUCUUUGGGCUUAACCCGAAAACUGCCAUUGAUACUAUCUGUCUUGAAUGUUGUGGAGGUGAGCGGAAUAUGUCAUGUAGCGGUGAAAUGCUUAGAUAUGACAUAGAACAUCUAUUGCGAAGGCAGCUCACUACGCAAAUAUUGACACUGAGGCACGAAAGCGUGGGGAUCAAACAGG
rnacentral:rRNA from 1 species